UCAACUUGAGCCGUAGAGGACGGCCUUUACCGACUUGAUGAGCCCAUCAACGAGAGUUCCAGUGUAGUCUCGACAGAUGCAGGCAAUGGCUCCAUCCGCAGAUCCCUCAGCGAGUGAACCGUCGACAUUAAUUCUCAAUUACCCCUUCUCCAGCGCAACCCAAGUUUGUGAAACUACUAGAUCUAUUUCUGUUCUCGCUUGCGAUGCUUCAAGACCCCAUCUUUUGAAAUUUCCUUGUAAAAACCUCGCCGAUUCUAUCGUAUUCUCCACAUUCGGGAUUUGGCAUUUGAAGAUUGCGUUGUUUCGAGCUACCCAGAUAUUCCAUAAGAUCGACGCCACUGUUUUGAGGGAAGGUAAGCCAAUCAAUUUCCCACAAAAUUUCAUUAGCCAUAUAUCAAACAUAGUUAUCUCCUGUAUCGACAUGUGUAAUUGAAGAUUGGGGGCUGACCAUACUUUCUAGAUCCAAGAGCAGAGCAAUAGAGUAUGUUCGACUGUCUCCAUUUCACGUCGACAGAUGGCAUACACAGGAUCGGUACGAUUUUCCUCCUCCAUAAAUUCUCCCUUGUUGGGAUAGCAUUUUGGCGUGCACUCCAUAAAAAGAUUUUCACUUUUGAGUAUAUCUUUAAAUUCCAUAUGGCGUCCAUAGUGUUUUG
rnacentral:lncRNA from 1 species